rnacentral:miRNA from 1 species
CUGGACGUCAGCGACUGUCCGCU